rnacentral:lncRNA from 1 species
CACAAUCAGGUCCCAUUCUAUAGAUGGGGAAACUGAGGCUUGAGGUCACAUAGGCGUCGUUCAAGGCUGGUAUACCUGCACCCUCUCCCAUGUGAACAACAUGGUUCUGGGUAAUGGGGGCUGUCAUCCAGUCUCCUCCCUGCCCCUGCUGGUGCACUUCCUGCCUCUGCUGGUGCACUUUCUGCCCCUACUGGUAUAUUUGCUGCCUCUGCUGGGGCGCUUCCUGCCUCGGCUGGUGUAUCUCCUGCCCCUGCUGGUGCACUUUCUGCCCCCGCUGAUGCACUUCCUGCCUCUGCUGGUGCACUUCCUGGCUCUGCUGGCGCACUUCCUGCCUCUGCUGGUGCACUUCCUGGCUCUGCUGGCGCACUUCCUGCCCCUGCUGGUGUAUUUCCUGCCCCUGCUGGUGUACUUCCUUCCCCUGCUGGUGCACUUCCUGCCUCUGCUGGCGCACUUCUUGCCUCUCCAGGCCCUACCUAGCCUCUCCCUCUUAUAUAUGGAAGUCUUCCCAGUUCACUGACACUGGUAACAGGGACUCUGCUCUUGGUGUUGCUGUCUGCCCUGGGGAUGGGCAUCUGUGUCUUCCUUUACUACUGCUGGCUCAGGACCCAGAGCUUUGAAGCAUGUCCAGAUGCAGGUCCGGGCACCAGAGUCUAAGGAGCCCCUACACCCACCAGGAUUUUCCAAUAAAGAGAUGUUCACCA